AGAAACUAACAAGGAUUCCCCUAGUAACGGCGAGUGAAGUGGGAAAAGCUCAACUUUGAAAUCUGGCAGCUUCGCUGUCCGAGUUGUAGUCUCGAGAAGUGUUUUCCGCGCUGGACCAUGUAUGAGUCUGUUGGAAUACAGCGUCAUAGAGGGUGAGAACCCCGUUCAUGACAUGCCUUCCAGUGCUUUGUGAUACACUUUCGAUGAGUCGAGUUGUUUGGGAAUGCAGCUCAAAAUGGGUGGUAAAUUCCAUCUAAAGCUAAAUAUUGGGGAGAGACCGAUAGCAAACAAGUACCGUGAGGGAAAGAUGAAAAGCACUUUGGAAAGAGAGUUAACAGUACGUGAAAUUGUUGAAAGGGAAACGCUUGAAGUCAGACGUGCGUAGUGCCUUCGGGUGCUGUUGCAGGCCAGCAUCAGUUUUGCGAGCCGGAUAAAGGUGGGAGGAAGGUGGCAGCUCCGGCUGUGUUAUAGCCUCCCACUGAAUACGGAUUGUGAGACUGAGGAAUGC
rnacentral:rRNA from 1 species